rnacentral:lncRNA from 1 species
CCUUAUUAUGAGCUCUUUGUAAGGGAAGAGCCAAAGUCCCCCAUCCUGCAGACACUUAAGCAUGUCCUUGUGUUUAACGCUAUGAAUAGUCGCACAGGCUCCUCUGGGAGGAUACUUGGAUACUGAAAGUCAAGCACAUAACAAAGUGUGUGCAGGAUCACUGCCUAGGGAAUGAAACAGAGAUGGCUGCAGAAAAAAAAUCCUUAAUGAGACUCUCUUAAAAGGAACACUGGCGUUAUUAAACUGGAAAUUCUAACCAUUCUGCAAAGGAGAAUGAAUCAAGCUUGGAGCUUUUUGGGAAGAGAAAAGGACAGAAGAAGAACAAAGAGAAGACAUAAGAAUAAAUGAAACGUACUCCAGUUGAUUGGAAGGUAACCACCGAAGGAGUCUGGAGGCAACUGGAAUUCCACUGUGUUGAGUGCUGCAUGAAUAGCUAGAGACAGUCCUUUUGCACCAUGCAUCAGGCGAAACAACAGCAAUCUCCUAAAAGAUGGCAAAAGAAGAUACGCUCAGAGAUGUCUAUACAAUUAAGAAGAACAAUUCACUUUCUGCAUAUUCUGAUUGUUACAUUAACAAUGCCCUCCAGUUAUUUUGUGCUGCACUGAGACCACCCCCCUGUUACUAAUUCAGAGCCAGCAUAUCACUGUCAUUUGCAUAAAGUUUGCCUGCCUCUGGCAAGAAGACAGGAGAAAUGCUUUUUCUGAAAUCAUCAAACAAGUGCUUUUCCAAAAAUAAAUUGAGGAUUGCAGCCAUUUUUUAGCGUCUUAAAUAAAUGAAGCUUUCAGCCAAUGUAUCAAAUUAGUAUACAUAGAGAAAGCCUCAAAGACAGCAGUCUGUAUUAUACAUAGAGUACUUGUUAAAGUGUUGUUAAAGGGCAUUUGAAUUGGCAUGUUAAACUGAAUUAAAAAGCAACAGCAUCCGGACGCAAGACUAAUCCUUGUAGAGAUAUCUCUAGGGACUGAUGUAGGAUGUAAGCCUCUAAAAUAAACUUGCUGAUCAUGAUAUUCCCUUUUAUUCAAUCCCCAUUUCCUACUUCAUGUUAAAUAUGCAUUCUUGCCAG